GUACUACUGUAGUGAUAAACGAAGAAGUUAUUAAGGAUGAGCUCAAAUUUAUUAUCGUUUGCAACGCCAAAAUUAUACUUGGUGUUGACCAUAAUUUUAAUCGUGGUACUAUUUUGGAUAGCAAGUCGAUUCGGAUUCAUUAACAUGAAACCAUUAAUUGGAAAUAUUACGAGAUUUUUUGCACCAUCAUUCAUCCCGGAAGGCCCGGAAGCCGAAAAUCUAGAUCAUAAUCACUGACAUCCAGAGUUACCAACGAAGUAUAUUAGAAGACUUUGGCAAAACACGACUGAUAUCGAUUACCAUGUUCGCAAUGGGAGUAUGUCAAAAGGCUAAUGAACAAACUCAAAAUUCGAAGCAACUCAGCUUAUAAUUUUGCUCAUAUUUAUUUUGAAUUAAUUUAUUUUAAUAUUAUGAAUAUAGGGAAUUAGGAAAACCAAGCAGUGCAUUUUGUAUACUAUUAGUAGUUUGCAGCUAGCAAAAUGUAUACACUCUCUGCAUCUGUUCCUUUUUUUACUAUAGAUUUUCUGUUUGGUUUCUUAAAAUAUUUGUUUAAUUAAAUUUGAGUACUAGUAUUAUGUAAGUAUUGUUGUUUGUAGUUAGAUUUAGUAUUAGUUCUACUUGCAUUAUUGUUACUCUUUUAUCUCAAACCAAAAUUAUUUGAAAACUUUGUCCAAAUCGUUUUUAGGUACCACUUUUUGCAUAAUCACAAACAGGGUUUGAGGCUCUAUUUACCGUGAAUCUUAUAUGCGUUUCAAAGCAAUCAAUAAUAGUCAUUGUAGAUAGUGUAAUUGAACGCCUAAACUUAGUAAAUGGAGUAUGUAUUAAAACAGUAAUGGGUAGCUCUCAAUCGAAUGUAAAUUUCGUCAAUUAAAUUAUGUUAAGCUCCAGGAAGAGAAGAGCUUAAAUAUCUAUUGUUUCCAAGAGGAUAAUUUAGAAACAGCGCAAUAAUAUAAUAUGUUGAGUUUCUUAUACUAGACUAAUUGAUAUUUCAGCAAAUCUCAAAAAUCUGUAGUUAUUACAUUUAAAACCUCCUUUGUAGUGAUGUAUGUAUCAUUUGUUUAUUUGGUUUAACUUUAACAAUGAAUAACGAACAAAAUAAUAAACAAUUUUUUAAUGAAAGUUUGAAAUAUAUAAUUUUUAUAUUUCAA